rnacentral:lncRNA from 1 species
AACCUCGGCCUACAGCGCCAGCGUCACCAUGAUUGCUAAGAAGGAGAAGAAUAAAACGCCGAAGGACAGCAUGACGCUCCUACCUUGCUUUUAUUUCGUGGAGAGAGAAGUGGAGGCAGAGGCAGAAAGCUACUACAGAAGGAUGCAGGCCAGGAGGUACCAGGACUAAGCCUGGCAAAGCUGUGAUGGGCAGAAGGCAGGCUGGGGGUCACUACAGCCCCACCAAUAAAGGUUCAUGGUAACCGUU